GUUAAGCGACUAAGCGUACACGGUGGAUGCCCUGGCAGUCAGAGGCGAUGAAGGACGUGCUAAUCUGCGAUAAGCGUCGGUAAGGUGAUAUGAACCGUUAUAACCGGCGAUUUCCGAAUGGGGAAACCCAGUGUGAUUCGUCACACUAUCAUUAACUGAAUCCAUAGGUUAAUGAGGCGAACCGGGGGAACUGAAACAUCUAAGUACCCCGAGGAAAAGAAAUCAACCGAGAUUCCCCCAGUAGCGGCGAGCGAACGGGGAGCAGCCCAGAGCCUGAAUCAGUGUGUGUGUUAGUGGAAGCGUCUGGAAAGGCGUGCGAUACAGGGUGACAGCCCCGUACACAAAAAUGCACAUAUUGUGAGCUCGAUGAGUAGGGCGGGACACGUGGUAUCCUGUCUGAAUAUGGGGGGACCAUCCUCCAAGGCUAAAUACUCCUGACUGACCGAUAGUGAACCAGUACCGUGAGGGAAAGGCGAAAAGAACCCCGGCGAGGGGAGUGAAAAAGAACCUGAAACCGUGUACGUACAAGCAGUGGGAGCACGCUUAGG
rnacentral:rRNA from 1 species